rnacentral:rRNA from 1 species
AGCAGCCGCGGUAAUUCCAGCUCCAAUAGCGUAUAUUAAAGUUGUUGCAGUUAAAAAGCUCGUAGUUGAAUUUCGGGGUUAGUAGGUUGGUCAUGCCUCUGGUAUGUACUGGUCUCACUGAUUCCUCCUUCCUGAUGAACCUUAAUGCCAUUUAUUUGGUGUUUUGGGGAAUUUGGACUGUUACUUUGAAAAAUUAGAGUGUUUAAAGCAAGCUAACGCUUGAAUACAUUAGCAUGGAAUAAUGAAAUAGGACGUUCGAUCCUAUUUUGUUGGUUUCUAGGAUUGACGUAAUGAUUAAUAGGGAUAGUUGGGGGCAUUAGUAUUCAAUUGUCUAGAGGUGAAAUUCUUGGAUUUAUUGAAGACUAACUACUGCGAAAGCAUUUUGCCAAGGAUGUUUUC